GGAGGGUUAUGCUCAGUGGUAGAGCGUGUGCUUAGCAUGCACAAGGUUCUGGGUUCAAUCCCCAGUACCUCCA
rfam:Camelus ferus unplaced genomic scaffold scaffold33709, whole genome shotgun sequence.